ensembl:lncRNA
CUUGCGAAGUCAUGCUGACACAGGAGGGAUGCGCAUGACACUGUGCCACUGUCCUUGGAGCAGUCCUUCUGUGAUGUCAUUGCCUUGCUCAGGGCCCCUCUGCAGCUUCUCAUUGCUGUAAAGACUUUAAUCCCCAACAUGUCACGCAGGGAUCUUUUUAGGUCUGACCUCUGACUUGCUCUCUGGUUCAGCCGACAUCACCCAAAGAGCCAGGUGUGUGCAGGGCGCUGCCAGCAGUUGAUUCAUUAAAUAUUUGUGAAGUGCCCGUUGUGUCCCAGGCACAGGGCUUGGCACAGCCUGCUGUUGUCAGAGCAGGACUUGGGGACCAGGGGAUGGAGUGGAACAGCCCUGGGUAGGGCUGCAGAGACAGGUUCUGGAGGCCUCCUGUGCCAGUCUAAGGAACUCAAACUUCAUUUCAUUGGUGAGAGGGAGUCCCUGAAAGAGUUUCAACUAACUUUAUGUGUGGAAUGAAUGGUAUCAGAAGGACUUAGUUUUUACGGAGAUGAAAGAUGCCACCAUUUAACAUAUAGCCUUCAAGUUAAAAAAGAAAUGGCAUCUCAACAUAAAGAAAAAAAAUCAUUUCCCUCCUAUGACCUUCUUUUUGGUAUCCUUGAACAAAUGUUUAUUCAGAAUUUUCCAAGGGCCUGGGCAGGGAUAGGUGCCCGUGCUACAGUACAGAACAAGACAUUUGGGUUCCUUUCCUAUGGAGCAUGUCAUUGGAUGAAACAGAUGAAUGGAAGAGCGACGUGUUAUGGAUGCUGCUAACGACGUUCUCAAUUAGGACUGAAGAAGCGUGUCUAACACUCUGGAAAACACAUCUCCCAACCCCCAAAGUGCCUGAGUUUAUGUAAAACAGAGAAAUUUUCUUCACUGUCAGGUUUCCUGCCUCUCACUUCACUCCCACAGCUGUGUGUUUGAAUAUUCAGAGGCAAGGUUGGAGGUAGGAGUCAAUUAUUUUGGGUGGGUUACUGUAUCUGAGCUGUUGGCUCCGGGGUAGAGGUAAAACACAGUGUAAGUAAAAACAGAGGUUUCUGAAAUGUUUGAGUUACUAUUCCGAAACUUCCCAUAUAAAAAUCCAUUUCUAAUGAAUUAUCUUAAAUUAAAAUUUAAUGGCCUCUAAAUUGUAUAUAAAGCAGGAGCACAAAAGCAGGCUCUGUGCAGAUAAACAUCAUUAGCGUGUAAGUGGGGAAAGUUUUUUAGCUUCUAUUUCCCUCUGGGUCUUCGAACUGCUCUGUGGGCCCUUUCCUGCCUAAUGUGAAUGCCAGUGUGCUUUUCUUUUUGACUUCCCCAGUGAACCUCCUGUGUGAUUAUGGAUUUGCCNNNNNNNNNNNNNNNNNNNNNNNNNNNNNNNNNNNNNNNNNNNNNNNNNNNNNNNNNNNNNNNNNNNNNNUUCGCCCCCCCCCUCACUGAAAAAAAAAAAAAAAAAAAAAACCAAACACCCCAAAGUGCUCAUUCUUUGCUGAUGUGCAACUUUACCUGCCAUCUGCACAUGCUCAUUCCGGCAGCUCCUCGUGAUCCUUCAACUCACAGGAAAUCCUUAGAGGAAUAAAAAGGACAGGCCCACCCCCA